rnacentral:rRNA from 1 species
UACGUAGGGUGCGAGCGUUAAUCGGAUUUACUGGGCGUAAAGCGUGCGUAGGUGGUUGUUUAAGUCUGUUGUGAAAGCCCUGGGCUCAACCUGGGAACUGCAGUGGAAACUGGAUGACUAGAGUGUGGUAGAGGGUAGCGGAAUUCCCGGUGUAGCAGUGAAAUGCGUAGAGAUCGGGAGGAACAUCCAUGGCGAAGGCAGCUACCUGGACCAACACUGACACUGAGGCACGAAAGCGUGGGGAGCAAACAGG